GCAGAAGGCUGCAAGACCAUUCUUCUAGAGUCAAAACAGCGUCAUGCAAGUGAGCACGAGAACCGCUAGUGGGAGGUGGGCCGAGCUGAUGCGCUUUUGCUCUGAAAAGUGUGCUGACCCUGCCUCUCAAUAUCAUCCGAGCAAAGGAGGAGGACUGUCCAUCUCACACCUUUUUAAAGAUACAAAUACAUCUGAAAGCUGUUGUUAUACAGUUUAACAAUUUAGUAUCUGGAAGACAGCUU
rnacentral:lncRNA from 1 species